rnacentral:rRNA from 1 species
GCGGUCUGCUUAACACAUGCAAGUCGAACGGGCUCUCGGAGCUAGUGGCGGACGGGUGAGUAACGCGUGAGGAUCUGCCUUUAGGACGGGGACAACAGCUGGAAACGGCUGCUAAUACCCGAUGUGCCGAGAGGUGAAACUAUUUGGCAUGAGGAUGAGCUCGCGUCUGAUUAGCUAGUUGGAGUGGUAACGGCACACCAAGGCGACGAUCAGUAGCUGGUCUGAGAGGAUGAUCAGCCACACUGGGACUGAGACACGGCCCAGACUCCUACGGGAGGCAGCACUGGCGAAUUGUCCGCAAUGGGCGAAAGCCUGACGGAUCAAGACCGCGUGCGGGAGGAAGGUCUAUUGAUUGUAAACCGCUUUUGAUAGGGAAGAAGAUCUGACGGUACCUAUCGAAUCAGCAUCGGCUAACUCCGUGCCAGCAGCCGCGGUAAUACGGGGGAUGCAAGCGUUAUCCGGAAUUAUUGGGCGUAAAGCGUCCGUAGGUGGUUUUAAAAGUCUGUUGUCAAAUCGCGAGGCUUAACCUCGUACAGGCAGUGGAAACUAUAAGACUAGAGUGCGGUAGGGGUAGAGGGAAUUUCCAGUGUAGCGGUGAAAUGCGUAGAUAUUGGAAAGAACACCGGUGGCGAAGGCGCUCUCCUGGGCCUGCACUGACACUGAGGGACGAAAGCUAGGGGAGCGAAAGGGAUUAGAUACCCCUGUAGUCCUAGCCGUAA